ensembl:snRNA U6 U6 spliceosomal RNA
AUGCUAACGUCAGCAGCACAUAUACUAAAACUGGAAUACAGAGAAGAUUAGCAUGGCCUCUGCAAAGAAUAACAUGCAAAUUUUUGAAGUGUUCCAUAUUUUU